rnacentral:rRNA from 1 species
GACGAACGCUGGCGGCGUGCUUAACACAUGCAAGUCGAACGGAAAGGCCCUGCUUUUGUGGGGUGCUCGAGUGGCGAACGGGUGAGUAACACGUGAGUAACCUGCCCUUGACUUUGGGAUAACUCCAGGAAACUGGGGCUAAUACCGGAUAGGAGCUCCUGCUGCAUGGUGGGGGUUGGAAAGUUUCGGCGGUUGGGGAUGGACUCGCGGCUUAUCAGCUUGUUGGUGGGGUAGUGGCUUACCAAGGCUUUGACGGGUAGCCGGCCUGAGAGGGUGACCGGCCACAUUGGGACUGAGAUACGGCCCAGACUCCUACGGGGGGCAGCAGUGGGGAAUAUUGCACAAUGGGCGGAAGCCUGAUGCAGCAACGCCGCGUGCGGGAUGACGGCCUUCGGGUUGUAAACCGCUUUCGCCUGUGACGAAGCGUGAGUGACGGUAAUGGGUAAAGAAGCACCGGCUAACUACGUG